rnacentral:rRNA from 1 species
AGGCUUUGAUCCUGGCUCAGGAUGAACGCUGGCGGUAUGCUUAACACAUGCAAGUCGAACGGUCUCUUCGGAGAUAGUGGCGGACGGGUGAGUAACGCGUGAGAAUCUGGCUCUAGGUCUGGGACAACAGAUGGAAACGUCUGCUAAUACCGGAUGUGCCGAGAGGUGAAAGGCUUGCUGCCUAGAGAUGAGCUCGCGUCAGAUUAGCUAGUUAGGUGGGGUAAAAGCCUACCUAGGCGACGAUCUGUAGCUGGUCUGAGAGGACGAUCAGCCACACUGGGACUGAGACACGGCCCAGACUCCUACGGGAGGCAGCAGUGGGGAAUUUUCCGCAAUGGGCGAAAGCCUGACGGAGCAAUACCGCGUGAGGGAGGAAGGCUCUUGGGUUGUAAACCUCUUUUCUCAAGGAAUAAAAAAUGAAGGUACUUGAGGAAUAAGCAUCGGCUACAUCCGUGC